ACGGCAGCACGGGAGCAAUCCUGGUGGCGAGUGGCGAACGGGUGAGUAAUACAUCGGAACGUGCCCUGUCGUGGGGGAUAACUAGUCGAAAGAUUAGCUAAUACCGCAUACGACCUGAGGGUGAAAGCGGGGGACCGUAAGGCCUCGCGCGAUAGGAGCGGCCGAUGUCUGAUUAGCUAGUUGGUGGGGUAAAGGCCCACCAAGGCGACGAUCAGUAGCUGGUCUGAGAGGACGAUCAGCCACACUGGGACUGAGACACGGCCCAGACUCCUACGGGAGGCAGCAGUGGGGAAUUUUGGACAAUGGGGGCAACCCUGAUCCAGCAAUGCCGCGUGUGUGAAGAAGGCCUUCGGGUUGUAAAGCACUUUUGUCCGGAAAGAAAUCCCCUGCUCUAAUACAGCGGGGGGAUGACGGUACCGGAAGAAUAAGCACCGGCUAACUACGUGCCAGCAGCCGCGGUAAUACGUAGGGUGCGAGCGUUAAUCGGAAUUACUGGGCGUAAAGCGUGCGCAGGCGGUUUUGUAAGACAGGCGUGAAAUCCCCGAGCUCAACUUGGGAAUGGCGCUUGUGACUGCAAGGCUAGAGUAUGUCAGAGGGGGGUAGAAUUCCACGUGUAGCAGUGAAAUGCGUAGAGAUGUGGAGGAAUACCGAUGGCGAAGGCAGCCCCCUGGGACGUCACUGACGCUCAUGCACGA
rnacentral:rRNA from 1 species